GAUGAACGCUGGCGGCGUGCCUAAUACAUGCAAGUCGAGCGAACGGACGAGAAGCUUGCUUCUCUGAUGUUAGCGGCGGACGGGUGAGUAACACGUGGAUACCUACCUAUAAGACUGGGAUAACUUCGGGAAACCGGAGCUAAUACCGGAUGAUAUUUUGAACCGCAUGGUUCAAAAGUGAAAGACGGUCUUGCUGUCACUUAUAGAUGGAUCCGCGCUGCAUUAGCUAGUUGGUAAGGUAACGGCUUACCAAGGCAACGAUGCAUAGCCGACCUGAGAGGGUGAUCGGCCACACUGGAACUGAGACACGGUCCAGACUCCUACGGGAGGCAGCAGUAGGGAAUCUUCCGCAAUGGGCGAAAGCCUGACGGGGCAACGCCGCGUGAGUGAUGAAGGUCUUCGGAUCGUAAAACUCUGUUAUUAGGGAAGAACAUAUGUGUAAGUAACUGUGCACAUCUUGACGGUACCUAAUCAGAAAGCCACGGCUAACUACGUG
rnacentral:rRNA from 1 species